rnacentral:misc_RNA from 1 species
UUUUGAUUCAGUCCCAUAAACAGUAGAAAAGGAAUCACAAAGGAGAAAAAGAAAAUGCCACAACAUCACCUUGUGUCAUUAAACUAUUAAUACAGCAUCAAAAACAUCAGAUUUAAAUUCCCAACAUAUCAAUCUUUUGCCUUUUCCAUCUCAUGCACUUUUUUCCCUUCCUUUGCACCUUGUCUUGCUUGCAAAAUUUAGCUACUCAGUGCCUCCUUUCUCAAGUUUUCUGAUAUUCCCAGCCUUCUCUCUUUCCGUCUCUCUAUGAUCCAAGAAAGCUUUGAUUCUUCAAGUUUUAUUUAUAUAACUUAUGCAAGAAUGAUAUUUAAACUCUUCUUUGCAUUAACACCAUUGGUGCUUCUCCUAGCUUCUCUGUCAUUGUUCUUGACAAGCAAGGAAAGUUCAAAAAAACAUUUUAGAAGCAGCUCAGAGACAUGGGUCCUCAAGUUGUUCAAUAUUUCACAAUCUUCCUCUCCUUUCUUUUAUUCGCCUCAGGUUCAAGCGUUGCAGAAACACCUCCACUGGAAGAAAUCCAGAAAGCCAGAAUAGCAGACAACCAAGAAAACCAAAUACCUUUUGCAUUUCCAGUCUUCACCACUCAAUUUGACGCUACAGGUACGGUUCCCAUUGUCAACCCAACAACUCCUGGAACAACAAGCCCUAUUGUAAAUCCAAUAGAGCCACCUCCAGCACCAGCUAUAGUCACAACACCGCCAACACCUCCAGCCACCACUACUCCAACACCUCCAGCCACCACAACUCCAUCCUCAUCAGGAGGUUCAUGGUGUAUUGCAAGUCCAACUGCUUCAGAAACUGCUUUACAGGUAGCUCUUGACUAUGCUUGCGGGUACGGUGGUGCAGAUUGUUCAGCCAUUCAAUCAGGUGCAAGUUGUUAUAACCCAAACACUGUCCGGGACCAUGCUUCUUAUGCCUUCAAUGAUUACUACCAGAAGAAUCCAAUUCCUACAAGUUGUGUCUUCGGAGGAACAGCACAACUUAUCAACACUGACCCAAGCAAUGGCAACUGUCACUUUGCUUCGCCCAAAUCAACACCCAGCUUAAGUCCACCAGUGAACCCAACCCCAACAACUCCAGCCACUCCAACUACGAUGUCUCCACCAAUAACAGCCACACCUGGUGGAUCAACAAUUUACGGUGUGGCAGAACCAACAGGCUUGCCCAGCUCAGCCUCCUCUGUUUCAUUCAGCUUACUGCUCCUCUGUUCCACAAUGGCUACCGUGGGAUCACUUCUUGCUGCAAAUCAUCUCUAACCAUAUGGGAAUUAUGUUUUUUUGCUCUCUUAAAUGAGAUGGCAGUUUCCUUGGUUGCCACCAAAUAUCGUCAGCUUCUGAGGAGGCAGUGAGUAUCAACAUCAAGAUGUUCUCUCAAGGCCUCAUUGUCACCAUAAAAUCUAUUUGCUAUACUCCUUCUAUGGAUGCAUAUUAGUUGAUUAAGAAGCCCCCAAAAAUGAAGUAGAGCACAGAAUGUCUUAGGUUCUUGUACUUGUAGGCAAGUUAGAUUAGUCAUUUUCUCUUCAGUUCUAGCAUAAUAAAGUAUUAGAUGAGAUCCUAUGGCUUUAGAACUACAUAAACAGAGGAGAAAGAUAUAUUUGUUAUUGGCUACCACAUGAACUUUUUGAAUGAGAUGAGCAAGAGCAACAAUAAACUUUCAGAAAAUAAUGAUUCGAA